rnacentral:rRNA from 1 species
UACGUAGGGUGCAAGCGUUGCCCGGAUUUAUUGGGCGUAAAGGGCGCGUAGGCGGCUCGGCACGUCCGUUGUGAAAUCGCCCGGCUCAACUGGGCGGGUCAGCGGAUACGGCCGAGCUUGAGCAAGCUAGGGGCAAUGGAAUUCCCGGUGUAGUGGUGAAAUGCGUAGAUAUUGGGAGGAACACCAGUGGCGAAGGCGGCUCACUGGACCGGAACUGACGCUGAGGCGCGAAAGCGUGGGAGCAACGGG